rnacentral:rRNA from 1 species
UACAGAGGGUGCAAGCGUUAAUCGGAAUUACUGGGCGUAAAGCGUGCGUAGACGGUUAUGUAAGUCAGAUGUGAAAAGCCCCGGGCUCAACCUGGGAACUGCAUUUGGGACUGCAAGGCUGGAGUACGGCAGAGGGAGGUGGAAUUCCACGUGUAGCAGUGAAAUGCGUAGAGAUGUGGAGGAACACCAGUGGCGAAGGCGACUCUUUGGCCUGUAACUGACACUGAGGCGCGAAAGCGUGGGGAGCAAACAGG